UUUUCCCUUACAACCCCCGUUUUAGUUCCCUCUGCUAUGGCCAAUGCCAAUAAUCUUCUGUCUCUGUUCUUCUCCUUUCUCUGCUCUCUCAAUUUCCUCACUGUUCCCUCCUGUGCCUUCCUUGGUCUAUGCCUUUCCCAAGCCCUUUUUUUUUUUUUCUCUCUCCAAACUUUUAUCAUUACCAACUGCCUUUGACCUUACAGGCACCUCUCCUGCCAAUAGAAGGCCCCAUUUUAGAAUUUCAUUUUUCCCUCUAAUUUCUCCACCCAAUCUUGAUCACUUAAGGGCUUCAGUGCCCCUGGUAGAUACAAAAUUGUCCCUCCUCAAACUGCGAGGUAAUUGAGUCUGCCAGCUCCCUCAAGGCACCGCUGUACAUCGAAUUCUCCCAGGGAGAGCCAUAAGCAAAAUUCCACGGCAAGAUGGGAGCUUCACCUGAAGUUGUUUUUCCACAGACUCCAGCUUUCCACUGUAACUUCAAUCACUUCUCCAAUCCACUCAUUAUUGCAAUUUUCAACAAGUUUCCUCUUGUUGAAUUUCCACACUUUCCACAGCCACGUCUGGAAUGCCUGGAAUGUGCGAACUGCCUUCACAAACCAUAACAACACAUUGCUGCAGCUACAAAGCAGAGCUUGACACAAUCUGCAGAUCCACCAUGUACACACCUCAGAGAGAGAACAACACUACGGCAUGGUGCCCUUACAGUGAUGCCCACGGACCCAUGUUCACACACAAAAUCACAGUGCUGGUAACCAUGAUGCAACACAGUUAUCAAUAAACCAAGCGUGCUUUUGAGAAGGUGCAGAACCCUGAGGGUCUUGAAUCUCUCAAGCACCCUGUGCAACUAGAAUCCCAUCUCCUUGGGAGGCUGUUCUCAGGCACCCCUUCGCUGUAUUACUGCUGGGAAACACGGGACACGCCGCGCACUGGGGACAUCUCCCUGCUCAUGUGCGUGCUGCCUUCUCAGGGAUCCCCCUACCCUUGCUCUCCGUAUGUGAUACAGACUGCUGUCACACGUCACCAGAAGCAGGAAAAAGGAAUCUGUCUCCCAGGGAACUUGAGGCUGGUCCCAAAGGAGCUGGGGCUGGGGGAGCUCCCCGAGAAUCACUCAUUAUGCUCUCUGAAUGCAAGUCCCCUCCAGGCCUUCGAGAUUUCAGUCGCAGUCCCAUCUGGGUCGCCAAAUUGGCAUCCGAAAUCCGGGAGGAAAACUCUCUAACUCCAGUGUGCUGUUAGAAAGAGGCAUUCCUUUAUUCCUCACCAUGCACAUCUCCCAGAGUUCAGGUUCUGCAUUUACACCGACAAGACAGACCUAUGCAGUACUUUGGCAUACAUGUUCACUGCUCUUCAAGGUCGCACAGAGAAGUGCUGAUGUCCCUUUGGGCAUGCUCAGUGAUAGUCAGGGUGGUCCAGUGCCCACCUACUUCUACCCCUUUUUCCACCAUCAGCUUCAUCACUGAAGCCUUUGACUCAAUUUCAUUCACUUUUCCCCAGCUUGGAAGAUUUCCAUUGCUUAUUAGCCCAUAGUGAGACACUUCUUAAAAACAAUAAAUGUGGAACUCAAUACUUUUGUUGCUUGCACGUUUUGAGGCAAAAGAUAUUCUAAGUAUUCUAUUGCGAAUCCAGUACUUCUCAUGAGACAAAAUCAUUGAGGCAGAAAAUAAAUGUAUUCUAUUGUGUCCCCAGUGCAAAAUUAUCGAGGAAAAACAAUGCUAUUCACCCACUCAGUCUGAAAUGGAAAGUGGAUUCCUGUUGGUAAACUAAUAUAUUGGCUGUUAAAGUCAUGUACUAAUCCCUAUUGCUAAACAAACUAAAUAAUAUCAGCAUCCACAAACAUCAAAUUCCCUCUAUGUGACUGCAAAGUCUGCAGUAACAUUCCAGAGAACAUCAUAGCAGUGCUUGUAAAGCACAGAAGUUAACCAUGCUGAUGCCUUCAAAAGAGCACCUAUUGAUGAACUAGGGAAGGAAAUUCUUAGAAAAGAAAGAACACGGUUAUCACCGGAGUGUAGGCCAGAAGGAAUUCUUUCCAGCUCAGAAGAAAGAGGUUCGGCAGCUUUCUUCAUGCCAGGAGUAGCUGUGAGCCGUCCCACCAGUAAGAGCCUCACUUGCUCCAUGGUUAAAACGUGUAAGCUGGACAGGACUGCCAUCGGCAGGGCUCAGUGAGGAAGUGAGCCAGCUGCACGGAGAUGCUGCCCUCGAGAGCAGGGCAGGCAGAGUGCAAUCUCUUGUGAAGACAUCCUCACGGGGGAGAGGAGUGUAAAGGAACGCGAGGACAAGAAAGUGGAAAUGGCUGAGCACAAGGUUGUGCCACGUCCCAACAGAAGGAAGCCAAGAUGCUUUAGAGACACCUGUGCUUAAUUAGCAUGAUAAAACACGAACCCCCCGCGGUGGUGAUAAUGAGCGAGCAUAGGGGAGCAACAGGGGAGCAGCCUGGGAGUUGGGCUCUUCCCAGGCGCUCCAGGUGGGAAAAGAGUGCGGUGGAGCUGACAGCUCCGCAGCCAGCAGCACUCAGAGGGGCACCCUGUGAAUCAGCGAGAGCCCGGCUGGAAGCCAUGCGGGCAGCGCCGUGCUGGCAGCGGUGCUCCGAGGCCGUCCUGCGGGAAGCUCCGGGCUGAGGGCACCCGGCAUCUGCUGCUCUACGCGACUCUACGGAGCCGGGCUGCCUGCAGCUGAGGUGCACCCGAGGGGAAGCUCUUCUGCACCCUGCAAAAAGCACCUGGAGGGGAGAGGGGAGCAGCAAAAGGUGUUUCUGAAACAGCAUUGCUUUUCCCCGGCUGGGAUCGUGGUCCCGGCUCCGUCUCCUGCCCAGCACAACAGUUAGAUAGUAAGCUGAAGAAUACAAGAUGUAAGGGGUCCAUAACAUUGCUUAGUUUAACUUUUUGCUGGCCCAAGCACAUUCUCAAAACGGAGCCUUCUCAAGUCAGCAGAAAGGGGCCCCUGAGAAAACAAUGGAAAGGGAGGAUAAACAGAAUAAGAAAUUGCUGAGGCACGCAGGGCGGGAGAAGAGCUCAGAACUGGGACAGAAGUCAGAAGGACACGGCGAGGAAGACGUCUGACUUCAUCCAGGAACGACCACCAGACGACCACCAGCUGGGGAGGAAGACGUUGAGCCUUCAUCCAACGGAAGCUACUGUGCAUGCACUGGGGGGAGGGACAGUAUGUAUGAAUAUGUCAAUGGGUCUUGGGAAAUACUGCUGAAUAUAUAUGGGCUUGGCUUACAAAUGUAUCGAGAUCCCACUCUCUGGUGUGCAAGCUGGGAGGAGCGAUCCGCCUUGUACCUGGCAGCGCUGAAAUAAGGACGUAUCUGCGCUUAUAACCUUA